AUGCUGAUGCCCCUGUGGUCGACUACGUCACCGACGACCCCUCCUUCUUGUCUGAGCAACCAGACGAUGGAGUCCAGGAGCCAGACGACACCGUCGACUACUACUACUACUACUACUCGGGAGGUGCCUACUACUACGUGCAGCCCGCUGACGACGACCAUGAGUAGUUUAGGAGGAUCCCAGGCAGGAGGCCUGCUCCUCUUUCGAUCUGUAUCCCAGUUAGUGCUAGCCUUCAUAAAUCAGACUUGUUUAACUUAUGUCUGUACUCAGAUAUUGUUGCUUCCGCUGACUCGUCUAUGA
rnacentral:rRNA from 1 species